GACGAACGCUGGCGGCGUGCUUAACACAUGCAAGUCGAACGGAAAGGCCCUGCUUUUGUGGGGUGCUCGAGUGGCGAACGGGUGAGUAACACGUGAGUAACCUGCCCUUGACUUUGGGAUAACUUCAGGAAACUGGGGCUAAUACCGGAUAGGAGCUCCUGCUGCAUGGUGGGGGUUGGAAAGUUUCGGCGGUUGGGGAUGGACUCGCGGCUUAUCAGCUUGUUGGUGGGGUAGUGGCUUACCAAGGCUUUGACGGGUAGCCGGCCUGAGAGGGUGACCGGCCACAUUGGGACUGAGAUACGGCCCAGACUCCUACGGGAGGCAGCAGGGGGGAAUAUUGCACAAUGGGCGGAAGCCUGAUGCAGCAACGCCGCGUGCGGGAUGACGGCUUUCGGGUGGUAAACCGCUUUCGCCUGUGACGAAGCGUGAGUGACGGUAAUGGGUAAAGAAGCACCGGCUAACUACGUG
rnacentral:rRNA from 1 species